AUUUCCUAAAUCUAUCAUUGGUAAAGUGGGUGUUUGCUCCAUGCCAUUUUUGUAGCACUAUGUUAAGCCCCCUCCCACAUCACUGCCAGCAUCAAAUCACAUGUGUGCUGUGUGUUUGGGAGGGGAUGUGAAUUUAGUGAUCAAAUUGACUUUGUUCACACUGUACACAAAUCUGAUUUUUAGGACUGACUGAUGAAAUCAGAUCCGCUUUUUCAGGCAGUAUAGUCAACAUUCAGAAACGAAAUCUGGAAUCAUGUUCGUCAUGGAUUCUUGCCGUGGUGCUGAACUCAUGAUUCAUUGAAGGUAUACAAAUUUCAUACUGAAUUAGGAAAAACUACUUUAAAUUCACACUGCAUUUAAAUCAAAUUUCAAACCACCCGCAGAACAUAUGUAGUUUGAAAAUUCCGAUUUCAUGUUUAGCGACAAAAAUACACCAAAACGUGUCUUUGUCUGAACAAAGCCCACGCAGAACAUCUCAUAAUUGAUUCUUCAGUUUUAUUAGCAUGAUAAACACCCACUAAUCCCGUAAUCCCAAAUCCAUUUUCCCCCACUUUACUAUCUGCUUCUUACCACUGCAUCAUUAAUCCAGAAAAAAAAGGAGGGAUGCUGUUGAGAAAAGGAAGUUCAGUUGCCUUUCAGAGUAUUUUUUUAGGAGUGGAUGAGCAGACUGGGCGUGGCCGGAUCCUCUCUGUCUACCACCUGCCCCCUUCUGGCUGAGGGACGUACUACACUGGGAGAAUGUUUAACCAAUACUAGUGGCUUUUUUUCAUAAUCAGACUCUUACUUUGGGUUUCCAAAGGAAAUAUGACAUUAGAUAGAAUAUCUCAAUGUAUUUAAAUAGCUUUGAAAAUGGAGAGGGACAGCAAACAGAAUGGACUGUGCAAAACUGCACCUGUCUCUCUCCCUAGAUGAUUUAUUCCACCAAUAAUUUACUCAUUUUUACCAAUUAUAUACAUAUAUAUUUGACAGAAAAAAAGUAUAUAGAUAUAUGAAUAUAACAUUUUUGUCAUAAAUAUAAAACUUAUAUAUGAUAUUAUAUACAUAUAUAUAAAGACAAAAAACACUCUUGAAGAUGAUUUUUUGAUGGUUAUCCUUUUAUGAUGGACUGUAGCAUGAAACGUUACAUCACCAUACGAAAUGACAGUUGACUGGUUUGAUUGAUUUGCAUUGUACCACCCCCUUUUUUGCUUUUGUUUUAUAUAGUUUUACAGAACCUGGUCUUCCAUCUUUUAUUGAACAUCCCACAGUGGGGUGUAAUGCUGUGUGUUCAUGUUUGAGCCCUUCACACAGACCACUUUUGUUAUUUUUCGUUUGUAAUUUUUCACAUAAAAAAAAAGUGUUCCCAAUACAGUUACACGCUUUCAUGCACACAA